GGGGAAUAUUGCACAAUGGGCGAAAGCCUGAUGCAGCAACGCCGCGUGAGUGAUGAAGGCCUUCGGGUUGUAAAGCUCUGUCUUUUGGGACGAUAAUGACGGUACCAAAGGAGGAAGCCACGGCUAACUACGUGCCAGCAGCCGCGGUAAUACGUAGGUGGCAAGCGUUGUCCGGAUUUACUGGGCGUAAAGGAUGCGUAGGCGGAUUUUUAAGUGAGAUGUGAAAUUCCUGGGCUUAACUUGGGAGCUGCAUUUCAAACUGGAAGUCUAGAGUGCGGGAGAGGAAAGUGGAAUUCCUAGUGUAGCGGUGAAAUGCGUAGAGAUUAGGAAGAACACCAGUGGCGAAGGCGACUUUCUGGACCGUAACUGACGCUGAGGCAUGAAAGCGUGGGUAGCAAACAGGAUUAGAUACCCUGGUAGUCCACGCCGUAAACGAUGAGUACUAGGUGUAGGAGGUAUCGACCCCUUCUGUGCCGCAGUUAACACAAUAAGUACUCCGCCUGGGAGUACGAUCGCAA
rnacentral:rRNA from 1 species